rnacentral:rRNA from 1 species
UACGGGGGGAGCAAGCGUUGUUCGGAUUUACUGGGUGUAAAGGGCGCGUAGGCGGCCACCGCAAGUCGACUGUGAAAUCUCCGGGCUUAACCCGGAACGGUCAGCCGAUACUGCGGGGCUAGAGUGCAGAAGGGGCAACUGGAAUUCUCGGUGUAGCGGUGAAAUGCGUAGAUAUCGAGAGGAACACCUGCGGCGAAGGCGGGUUGCUGGGCUGACACUGACGCUGAGGCGCGAAAGCUAGGGGAGCGAACGGG